rnacentral:lncRNA from 1 species
AUCUGGAUUGGCAUGAAAUGCAUCUGGAAAAUUGCAUGGAGCUGGACAUAAUUCCCUAUGAGAAAAGAAUGCAUCUGAGCGCCUGGUGAGCACCAGUGCUAGCCUGGGAUCAGACUUUCUAUGCCUGUGAAAGUGUAUGAAAGGGUGGUUCUUGAAUCAGAAACACUGGGGUGGAUCCUGGCCUCACAUGCCCUGAUGUAGGAACAGAAGGCAGUUCCAGUGGUGUAUGCUGUAAGUUCAGCAAAUCUAG